UAAUUGAUUACUAAGGUAUUAAAAAAUUAUUUAUGUCACAGUUUCUAUGAUACUCAAAUUUGAAGGAAAUUGUAUUAGCUAACUCAAUAUUGAGAUCAUUUUCCAUGGAAAUGGUAUUAUGAUCUUGCCAGCAGAGGAUGGAAUUAUUCCAUUGAAAUAUGAAGUUCAAUUCAUUAAUGCACGCGCUGCGUACUUCCAACUUUGCACUGAUAUUAAAUCAAGAUUACAAGUGCUAUCAAUUUAUCCGUAAAUAUGUUCAAUAUCAACCUCUUCGUAAUAAUUAGUGAAGAUAGAGGAAGUACAGAGCAUUGGAAUGAUUGAUUUCCAAACAUGUAGGUCGAACCUCAUCAAACAAAAGCGAGGGAAUGACGAUCUAGAAAGAAUGCACUAAUCAUAAAUACCAAACGAUUUUAUAGUUCAAAUAAUUGCAAUCGAUGGUAAUUUACCUGAGAAAAGUUCGAGUGGAACAAAACGAAGAUCGUCCAUCCGUAAGUGAACGUGUCCCUUCUUGAUCGACGAUACAGAUAAAAGUGAAACGCAUAGGGUAUGUAAUCGAUCAUUACGAGCAGAUCUGCUACGGCCAAUCCCAUUAAAAUUAUAUUGGUCGGUGAUCGCAUUUCUCGCCGAGUAAGAACGAGAAUGUUCAAAACGUUGGCGAUCGAACCGAAAAUACAGACGAAAAGGGAGAUCCAUCCAUGCAAAUGCGAAUAAUACGAGUAAAAGGAUGAUAAAUCGCAAAUGUAGUAGCUCGACGAGGUGUUAAAAUCCGUCAUGAUUAUUUUAAAUCCGCUUCCUUCUUCUUUGUGUGCUUCGGUUAACGGUUUUUCUUCGACCGUUGAAAUUCUAGCAGAUAAUUUCCAACGCGUAUUAAUUUCGAUGAAGAGUAUUCGGUAAUCUUCGAAUAAUAGUAAAAAAGUUUGAUUCUUCGGAGAGACAUAGAAAAAAUUUUUUCUUCCAGCAAAUAUUCGUUAAAUAUUUCCACCUUUGAUUUUUAUCAUUGACGAUCGAGAAAUAAACGAAAAAAAAAAAAAAAGAAAAAAUAGAAAAUAAAAUAAAAUAAAACGAUAAAAA